rnacentral:lncRNA from 1 species
CAUCCGACGAUACUAAAAAGAAGAUGUAUAGCUCUAUCCUGGUGGUGGGAGGCGGUUUGAUGUUUCAUAAAGCUCAAGAGUUUCUCCAGCACAGAAUUCUCAACAAAAUGCCACCUUCAUUCAGGCGAAUUAUUGAAAAUGUGGAUGUGAUCACAAGGCCCAAGACGUAAAUCCUGGUUUAUUUGCUGUUGACUGAGCAGGGGUCCCAACCCCACAUGCAGAGGAGAUGUUGUCUGUGUCUUACCUGCCUUUGCUGAAACACCGCUCUCUGUGUAGGACAUGGAUCCCCGGCUGAUUUCGUGGAAGGGGGGUGCAGUGUUGGCGUGUUUGGACACCACUCAGGAACUGUGGAUUUACCAGCGAGAGUGGCAACGCUUUGGUGUCCGAAUGCUACGGGAACGAGCUGCCUUUGUGUGGUGAAAACCACAACCAUGUCUCUGGACAUAAAGACUUAAAGAGUGUAUGUAUUUUAAGUUAUUGAGCUUGAAGCUUGAUUUUCCUAGAAUUAAAUUAAUUCAAUUUUA